AGACUAGUUCUCGUCCGAUCAUUGAAGUUAAGCAACGUCAAGCCUAGUCAGUACCUGGAUGGAUGACCGCUUGGUAAUUCCAGGUGCUGUAUG